rnacentral:rRNA from 1 species
UGGGGAAUAUUGCACAAUGGGCGCAAGCCUGAUGCAGCCAUGCCGCGUGUAUGAAGAAGGCCUUCGUGUUGUAAAGUACUUUCAGCGGGGAGGAAGGGAGUAAAGUUAAUACCUUUGCUCAUUGACGUUACCCGCAGAAGAAGCACCGGCUAACUCCGUGCCAGCAGCCGCGGUAAUACGGAGGGUGCAAGCGUUAAGCGGAAUUACUGGGCGUAAAGCGCACGCAGGCGGUUUGUUAAGUCAGAUGUGAAAUCCCCGGGCUCAACCUGGGAACUUCCUCUGAUACUGGCAAGCUUGAGUCUCGUAGAGGGGGGUAGAAUUCCAGUUGUAGCGGUGAAAUGCGUAGAGAUCUGGAGGAAUACCGGUGACGAAGGCGGCCCCCUGGACGAAGACUGACGCUCAGGUGCGAAAGCGUGGGGAGCAAACCGG